UACAGAGGGUGCGAGCGUUGUCCGGAAUCACUGGGCGUAAAGGGCGCGUAGGCGGAUCUUUAAGUCGGGGGUGAAAGCCUGAGGCUCAACCUCAGAAUUGCCUUCGAUACUGGAGAUCUUGAGACCGGAAGAGGUAAGUGGAACUGCGAGUGUAGAGGUGAAAUUCGUAGAUAUUCGCAAGAACACCAGUGGCGAAGGCGGCUUACUGGUCCGGUUCUGACGCUGAGGCGCGAAAGCGUGGGGAGCAAACAGG
rnacentral:rRNA from 1 species